rnacentral:lncRNA from 1 species
UUUUUUUGACUAAAGAUUAUAAAUGAAAAUACAAGAGUUGAUAAAAUAAGUUUUGUUAGAAACAAAACAACUCAGAUGAAUAGUUCGUCUUUUGGGGAAUUCAACUAAGUUAAUCAAAAAUUCUAAAGUUAGAGUUAAACAACAAAUAAUAAGUAAUCGCAAUUAAAUAAUUAAAGCGUAAGGGAGAAAUUGAAUUUGGGCCUUUCUUGGGCCAAAUUUGCUACUUUUUUUGGGGUUUAAACAAAACCCGUUUUUGGUAUACAGCUCAUGUAUAUCAGUGUAUAUCGCAUGUAUAUAAGCUCUUUUCAUGUAUAUCUUGCUUCCAAACACCUGUAUUUCGCCUUAGCCCUGUAUUUUACUCCCAAUUCGGAAUUCAUAUAUUUGUUUUCCAUUCCGGACUUGGCAACAAAGGAGAUGACUUGAAAAAGCUUUUGGGGCCUAAGUGGCCCGUUUCAUGUGCAAAGGGGUUGGAGAAGAGUUCAGUGAACUCAUCCGAUGAUGCCAUACAGAGGAAACAAAACAAGAGUUAGCCAGCUAUAAAUUAUUAUUUUUGGUGGAAAUGAAUCACAACUCCUAAAAAUAUACAACUGGAACUCAACACUAUAACAACAAAAAUUCAAACAAGCAAGAUUAUAAUAGUCAUAAUAUAUAUCUCCCUUGGAGCAAAAUGAUAUUACCCACCCGUGGAGUAUGCCAUUCAAUUAGUAACCAAAAGAAAGAAAAAAUUUCACAUAAAACAAAAAAUAAAAUAAAAUCCCUUAAUAACAUAUCUAAGCACCUGGAUGCUUAUUCUUGAGUAUAAGUACAAAAUUAGCCAUUAUAAGAAAUAUAUAUAUUUAUAGACACUUAUCACUAAACAUCUAUGCAAACUAAAACCAAAAUAUGCACAUUAAUCCACAUAUCACAAAUAUUAGACUAAUGGACAUGAAUAUUCAAAACGGAGAAGUUAAUCAAUGAGGCAGUAAGCACGUGACGAGGGUAGAAUAGCCUUAUUAGAUACAAGGAUCCAAGUUAUUCAAUUUUUAAAGAUGAAGUAUUUUGAACUAAAAUAGUAAAUGACCAGCCGAUUCGAAGAAUAUGGAGACAUAUAUUUAUCUUCUCAAACGUAUAUUCCAAGCUGCUCUUAUCACAAUGUAAAGUAGAUAGAUAAAACAUGAAUCAUAUGCAAAAUGAGAGGCAUUCGGUUAUAUGAACGACUAGCUAAUUUCCAAACUUAAACUAACAUAUGAAUAGAAGGUAAAAACCAACUCAAGGCUAGGCAAGACAGAUUCUAUGAAACGGGUACAACGAAUAAACUCAAAACAAUAGCAACUCCCAUGCGAGAAAAUCACAAAUAACAUACAAAUACCAACUUUUUAAAUGCCAAAUUGAGACAAAAUUGAUCCAAUGGAGAUUCACAUACUUUUAAAAAAAAUAAUCAAACUUAUGAAAGAAAAUAAUUGAACUGCUCAAUCAUAAGGUAAAACAGAGUAAUCCGCUAACAAUAACAUCAAAUUAAUAUCAAAGUAUUCACUACAUCGAGAAUAUACAAUGAUUUAUAUAAGACGAUAAAAGUUUACCUUUUCCGGGGCAGGGACUGGGACGAUGAGCUUGACUAUGAAGCAACCCCCACUACCACAACAAAGUUUCGUUGAAGAAUCCUUCGAAUUCCAGAAACCAAAAGCCUCGUUUUUUUUUUUUUUUGACUAAAGAUUAUAAAUGAAAAUACAAGAGUUGAUAAAAUAAGUUUUGUUAGAAACAAAACAACUCAGAUGAAUAGUUCGUCUUUUGGGGAAUUCAACUAAGUUAAUCAAAAAUUCUAAAGUUAGAGUUAAACAACAAAUAAUAAGUAAUCGCAAUUAAAUAAUUAAAGCGUAAGGGAGAAAUUGAAUUUGGGCCUUUCUUGGGCCAAAUUCACUACUUUUUCUGGGGUUUAAACAAAACCCGUUUUUGGUAUACAGCUCAUGUAUAUCAGUGUAUAUCGCAUGUAUAUAAGCUCUUUUCAUGUAUAUCUUGCUUCCAAACACCUGUAUUUCGCCUUAGCCCUGUAUUUUACUCCCAAUUCGGAAUUCAUAUAUUUGUUUUCCAUUCCGGACUUGGCAACAAAGGAGAUGACUUGAAAAAGCUUUUGGGGCCUAAGUGGCCCGUUUCAUGUGCAAAGGGGUUGGAGAAGAGUUCAGUGAACUCAU